rnacentral:rRNA from 1 species
GAUGAACGCUAGCGGCAGGCCUAACACAUGCAAGUCGAGGGAGGAGCUUUCGGGCUUCGACCGGCGUACGGGUGCGUAACGCGUAUACAAUCUGCCUUUCACAUAGGGAUAGCCCGAAGAAAUUUGGAUUAAUACCUAAUGGUAUAUAGGGGUGGCAUCACCUUUAUAUUAAAGCUGAGGCGGUGAAAGAUGAGUAUGCGUUCUAUUAGCUAGUUGGAGAGGUAACGGCUCCCCAAGGCUACGAUAGAUAGGGGUUCUGAGAGGGAUAUCCCCCACACUGGUACUGAGAUACGGACCAGACUCCUACGGGAGGCAGCAGUGAGGAAUAUUGGACAAUGGUCGGAAGACUGAUCCAGCCAUGCCGCGUGCAGGAAGACGGCCUUAUGGGUUGUAAACUGCUUUUGCAGGGGAAGAAUAAGGACUACGUGUAGUUGAGACGG